rnacentral:rRNA from 1 species
AGCGAACGCUGGCGGCAGGCCUAACACAUGCAAGUCGAACGAACUCUUCGGAGUUAGUGGCGGACGGGUGAGUAACACGUGGGAACGUGCCUUUUGGUUCGGAAUAACUCAGGGAAACUUGUGCUAAUACCGAAUGUGCCCUUCGGGGGAAAGAUUUAUCGCCAUUAGAGCGGCCCGCGUCUGAUUAGCUAGUUGGUGAGGUAACGGCUCACCAAGGCGACGAUCAGUAGCUGGUCUGAGAGGAUGACCAGCCACACUGGGACUGAGACACGGCCCAGACUCCUACGGGAGGCAGCAGUGGGGAAUCUUGCGCAAUGGGCGAAAGCCUGACGCAGCCAUGCCGCGUGAAUGAUGAAGGUCUUAGGAUUGUAAAAUUCUUUCGCCGGGGACGAUAAUGACGGUACCCGGAGAAGAAGCCCCGGCUAACUUCGUG